rnacentral:rRNA from 1 species
AUUGAACGCUGGCGGCAUGCCUUACACAUGCAAGUCGAACGGUAACGCGGGGCAACCUGGCGACGAGUGGCGAACGGGUGAGUAACGCAUCGGAACGCGCCCAGUAGUGGGGGAUAGCCCGGCGAAAGCCGGAUUAAUACCGCAUACGACCUACGGGUGAAAGCGGGGGAUCGCAAGACCUCGCGCUAUUGGAGCGGCCGAUGUCAGAUUAGGUAGUUGGUGGGGUAAAGGCCUACCAAGCCGACGAUCUGUAGCUGGUCUGAGAGGACGACCAGCAACACUGGGACUGAGACACGGCCCAGACUCCUACGGGAGGCAGCAGUGGGGAAUUUUGGACAAUGGGCGCAAGCCUGAUCCAGCCAUGCCGCGUGCGGGAUGAAGGCCUUCGGGUUGUAAACCGCUUUUGUCAGGGAAGAAACGCUCUGGGCUAAUACCCCGGGGUAAUGACGGUACCUGAAGAAUAAGCACCGGCUAACUACGUGCCAGCAGCCGCGGUAAGAC